rnacentral:lncRNA from 13 species
UCAUAAUAACUGUGUUUUAUAUAUUUAUUAUCUAACCCUGAGUUCAUAAUAACUGUGUUUUAUAUAUUUAUUAUCUAACCCUGAGUUCAUAAUAACUAUACCACUGUGUUUUAUAUAUUUAUUAUCUAACCCUGAGUUCAUAAUAACUGUGUUUUAUAUAUUUAUUACCUAACCCUGAGUUCAUAAUAACUAUACCACUGUGUUUUAUAUAUUUAUUACCUAACCCUGAGUUCAUAAUAACUGUGUUUUAUAUAUUUAUUAUCUAACCCUGAGUUCAUAAUAACUAUACCACUGUGUUUUUAUACAUUUAUUAAAAUGUUUUUGUUUUGUCAAACCUGUAGUGUUCAUCAUAUUAACAUGGCAGGUCAGAGUUAACCCUUACAGAGCAUAGGUACGUUUUUUGUUGUUGUUGUUGCAAUACACAAACAUAUAUUUCUCAUACAAAUGCAAGAUACCAAAACAGAAAGCUAAUUUGAUCCUCUCUGAAGCAGCACUAAAACCGACAGUCCCUGACACAGACUUCAGGUCCUGCACGGCCUAGAUCCACUGCAUCCUGCGACUGCUGGCAUGUAGCUACAACACGCAGCCCAGCCCCACACACGUUGCAAACACACGCCAACACAUCCAUAGUCCACAUGGUACAGAUUCACAAGACAGGGAAAACAGUUCCAGCAUGAUUCAGAAUGUUUGCUUUAAAAAGAGUUGGAUUCCGAGCAGACAGAAUUGUGGGAAUCAGAGUUUCUCUGUUGAAAGAGAGGUGUUGUUGUUGCUGUUCGUCCAUUUCUGAACAGAUGCAUCCUGCUUCUCUUGAUUGUAGUCCCAGAAUCCCAGUGUUCUCUGGUGAUUGUAGUCCCAGAAUCCCAGUGUUCUCUGGUGAUUGUAGUCCCAGAAUCCCAGUGUUUUCUGGUGAUUGUAGUUUCCCCCAGUCCUGUCUGGUGAUUGUAGUUUCCCCCAGUCCUGUCUGGUGAUUGUAUUCCCCCCCAGUCCAGUCAGGUGAUUGU